CAGCAGACACAUUCCAGCCAAUCAGCAGCAGACCCUCCCUCCCAGAUCCUCUCACCUCCUGGAUAGCUCACUAAGAAUGCAGCUUCACAAUGAAUGUAAAAUGGAUGCUGUCCAGGAGGUGGGAGGGUCUGGGAGGGAGGGUCUGCUGCUGAUUGGCUGGAAUGUGUCUGCUG
rnacentral:miRNA from 1 species